GCGGGCGUGGUGGAAUUGGUAGACACGCUAGAUUCAGGUUCUAGUGGGCUUUCGCCCGUGGGGGUUCGAGUCCCUCCGCCCGCACCA
rnacentral:tRNA from 1 species